GAUGAACGCUGGCGGCGUGCCUAAUACAUGCAAGUCGAGCGAACGGACGAGAAGCUUGCUUCUCUGAUGUUAGCGGCGGACGGGUGAGUAACACGUGGAUAACCUACCUAUAAGACUGGGAUAACUUCGGGAAACCGGAGCUAAUACCGGAUAAUAUUUUGAACCGCAUGGUUCAAAAGUGAAAGACGGUCUUGCUGUCACUUAUAGAUGGAUCCGCGCUUCAUUAGCUAGUUGGUAAGGUAACGGCUUACCAAGGCAACGAUGCAUAGCCGACCUGAGAGGGUGAUCGGCCACACUGGAACUGAGACACGGUCCAGACUCCUACGGGAGGCAGCAGUAGGGAAUCUUCCGCAAUGGGCGAAAGCCUGACGGAGCAACGCCGCGUGAGUGAUGAAGGUCUUCGGAUCGUAAAACUCUGUUAUUAGGGAAGAACAUAUGUGUAAGUAACUGUGCACAUCUUGACGGUACCUAAUCAGAAAGCCACGGCUAACUACGU
rnacentral:rRNA from 1 species